rnacentral:rRNA from 1 species
UACGAAGGGGACUAGCGUUGUUCGGAAUCACUGGGCGUAAAGCGCACGUAGGCGGAUAUGUCAGUCAGGGGUGAAAUCCCGGGGCUCAACCUCGGAACUGCCUUUGAUACAGCAUAUCUUGAGUCCGAUAGAGGUGGGUGGAAUUCCUAGUGUGGAGGUGAAAUUCGUAGAUAUUAGGAAGAACACCGGUGGCGAAGGCGGCCCACUGGAUCGGUACUGACGCUGAGGUGCGAAAGCGUGGGGAGCAAACAGG